UACACAGUCACACAGCGAUGCACUGUCGGUUGUUAUCCAUUGCCUGGGGCAACACUGCUGUUGAAUUGCUGAUGGUGGCUGGUCCUGACAGAGAGUGAAGACCUGCAGUGUUUGGAUUCUUAGGAAGCCCAUUACCAUCUGGGAGCAGGAGGCUCCGGGACAUAAGAGGAGGGACAUUAAGAAGAAGGGAUGACAAAGAUAAAGAGGCAACUUUGGAACAAGUUGACUGUGAAGACUCUGUGAAAAUGUCUACAUGAAAUGUCUUGUAAGCAGUUCAGUGUACUGAUCUGGAGCUCAAGAGAGAAAACAGACCUGGAGAUUCAGGCUGGGAACCCAGAGCCUCAUAUCAACACCUGAAUUUUCCUUUGGAGAGUCCCAUUCCAUGCUAUGUGUUUCUGUGGGAUCGAUUCCACCCUCCCAGCUCCAAGGGUAUUCAGAUUGCAAGCUGUAAGAGUGAUGAGCUGAGACCCUGCUUAGAAAGACACCAACACAGAAGAUGGUCUUGGGAUGGAGACAACGUCCCACUAUUACUUGCUAUGAUGGUUCAAUACUCCUCAAUUUUCCUAAACCCUGCCCUCGCCUUUGUAAGUAGUCCUCUAUUUGAAACCCAGUGGGAUAGAGCCAUCUAUUUCCUGCCAGGACCCUGGCAGAUAAAAUAAUAUUGUUUGAGCUCUGGAUCCAGACUGGCCUAAGAUAGUGAUACUCCUGACUUUUCAGUUACUUGAG
rnacentral:lncRNA from 1 species